rnacentral:rRNA from 1 species
GGGUGAGUAACACGUGGGGAACCUGCCUAGGCUGGGAUACCACUUGGAAACAGGUGCUAAUACCGGAUAAGAAAGCAGAUCGCAUGAUCAGCUUAUAAAAGGCGGCGUAAGCUGUCGCUAUAGGAUGGCCCCGCGGUGCAUUAGCUAGUUGGUAGGGUAAAGGCCUACCAAGGCGAUGAUGCAUAGCCGAGUUGAGAGACUGACCGGCCACAUUGGGACUGAGACACGGCCCAAACUCCUACGGGAGGCAGCAGUAGGGAAUCUUCCACAAUGGACGCAAGUCUGAUGGAGCAACGCCGCGUGAGUGAAGAAGGUUUUCGGAUCGUAAAGCUCUUUUGUUUUGUGAAGAAGGAUAGAGGUAGUAACUGGCCUUUAUUUGACGGUAAUCAACCAGAAAGUCACGGCUAACUACGUGCCAGCAGCCGCGGUAAUACGUAGGUGGCAAGCGUUGUCCGGAUUUAUUGGGCGUAAAGCGAGCGCAGGCGGAAGAAUAAGUCUGAUGUGAAAGCCCUCGGCUCAACCGAGGAAUUGCAUCGGAAACUGUUUUUCUUGAGUGCAGAAGAGGAGAGUGGAACUCCAUGUGUAGCGGUGGAAUGCGUAGAUAUAUGGAAGAACACCAGUGGCGAAGGCGGCUCUCUGGUCUGCAACUGACGCUGAGGCUCGAAAGCAUGGGUAGCGAACAGGAUUAGAUACCCUGGUAGUCCAUGCCGUAAACGAUGAGUGCUAAGUGUUGGGAGGUUUCCGCCUCUCAGUGCUGCAGCUAACGCAUUAAGCACUCCGCCUGGGGAGUACGACCGCAAGGUUGAAACUCAAAGGAAUUGACGGGGGCCCGCACAAGCGGUGGAGCAUGUGGUUUAACUCGAAGCAACGCGAAGAACCUUACCAGGUCUUGACAUCUAGUGCCAUCCUAGAGAUUAGGAGUUCCCUUCGGGGACGCUAGACAGGUGGUGCAUGGCUGUCGUCAGCCCGUGUCGUGAGAUGUAGGUUAAGUCCCGCACGAGCGCACCCUUGUUAUAGUGCCAGCAUUAGUUGG